rnacentral:rRNA from 1 species
AAAGGGUGUGUAGGCGGGUAUUUAAGUCAGUGGUGAAAUCUCCGAGCUCAACUCGGAAACUGCCAUUGAUACUAUUUAUCUUGAAUAUUGUUGAGGUAGGCGGAAUAUGUCAUGUAGCGGUGAAAUGCUUAGAUAUGACAUAGAACACCGAUUGCGAAGGCAGCUUGCUAAACAAUUAUUGACGCUGAGGCACGAAAGCGUGGGGAUCAAACAGGAUUAGAUACCCCGGU